rnacentral:rRNA from 1 species
AUUGAACGCUGGCGGCAGGCUUAACACAUGCAAGUCGAGCGGGGUGAUGGUGCUUGCACUAUCACUUAGCGGCGGACGGGUGAGUAAUGCUUAGGAAUCUGCCUAUUAGUGGGGGACAACAUCUCGAAAGGGAUGCUAAUACCGCAUACGUCCUACGGGAGAAAGCAGGGGAUCACUUGUGACCUUGCGCUAAUAGAUGAGCCUAAGUCGGAUUAGCUAGUUGGUGGGGUAAAGGCCUACCAAGGCGACGAUCUGUAGCGGGUCUGAGAGGAUGAUCCGCCACACGGGGAAUGAGACACGGCCCAGACUCCUACGGGAGGCAGCAGUGGGGAAUAUUGGACAAUGGGGGGAACCCUGAUCCAGCCAUGCCGCGUGUGUGAAGAAGGCCUUAUGGUUGUAAAGCACUUUAAGCGAGGAGGAGGCUCUUUUGGUUAAUACCCAAGAUGAGUGGACGUUACUCGCAGAAUAAGCACCGGCUAACUCUGUGCCAGCCGCCGCCGUAA